rnacentral:rRNA from 1 species
UAUAUUUAAGUUGUUGCAGUUAAAAAGCUCGUAGUUGGAUUUUGGUUAAGAGGGCGCGGUCGGCCGUUUGGUCUGUACUGCGUUGUCUUGACUUCCUGAUGAGGACAUGCUCUUGGUUAACGCUGAGACAUGGAGUCAUCGUGGUUACUUUGAAAAAAUUAGAGUGUUCAAAGCGGGCUUACGCUUGAAUAUAUUAGCAUGGAAUAACACUAUAGGACUCCUGUCCUAUCUCGUUGGUCUCGGGAUGGGAGUAAUGAUUAAGAGGAACAGUUGGGGGCAUUCGUAUUUCAUUGUCAGAGGUGAAAUUCUUGGAUUUAUGAAAGACGAACUUCUGCGAAAGCAUUUGCCAAGGAUGUUUUCAUUAAUCAAGAACGAAAGUUGGGGGCUCGAAGAUGAUUAGAUACCAUCCUAGUCUCAACCAUAAACGAUGCCGACUAGGGAUUGGUGGAUGUUAAUUGAUGACUUCACCAGCACCUUAUGAGAAAUCAAAGUUUUUGGGUUCCGGGGGGAGUAUGGUCGCAAGGCUGAAACUUAAAGGAAUUGACGGAAG